GACAUGGUGGUGUAGUGGUAACACACGUGCAAAAAAAAAUUGAACUAAAUAGGUUAGGCAGGAGUACCUUGUUCGAUUCCAGGUCAGGUUU